UACGGGGGGGGCAAGCGUUGUUCGGAAUUACUGGGCGUAAAGGGCUCGUAGGCGGCCAACUAAGUCAGACGUGAAAUCCCUCGGCUUAACCGGGGAACUGCGUCUGAUACUGGAUGGCUUGAGUUCGGGAGAGGGAUGCGGAAUUCCAGGUGUAGCGGUGAAAUGCGUAGAUAUCUGGAGGAACACCGGUGGCGAAGGCGGCUACCUGGACAAUUGCUGACGCUCAGGCACGAAAGCGUGGGGAGCAAAAGGG
rnacentral:rRNA from 1 species